CCGACGACCAUUCCUAGCCCACUUGAAUCACUGUAAUGGUGUAAGAGUGCAUUCAUUCAUCCGUCAUUGAAGCAGGGUCUGCAGGCCAGACCUCUGCAGGUAGUGGUCGAUGUCUCAUUAAAGUCAUUGCAUUAAAUAUUUAUCUGCUUUUUAGUUGUUAAAAGUAGAAAGUUAAACCAAUUUGUGUGAAUCAUCCAUCUUAGCUUAAAGCAGAUGUUGUAUGGAAGCUUUUGUUGGCUAACCAUUGUAGCCAUUUCAUCUUCCUGCUGGGUCACAGCACAUGUAGCUGCACUUGCCCUAGUGGUUCACUUCUGGUAUGAUGGUGUGAUGUCUGACUCAGUUCCAGGAAAUUUUGCCUAUAAUCUAAGAAAUGUUUGUACAUAAUUGGUUUGCUGUGUGCAUGUGUGUGUAUUUUUUUUAAUUUGUCUUUUCUUUCUUUUCCAGGAGAUAGAAGAUAAAUUGGUUUUUCCCUCUACAUAUUUGACAAAGAACACUUCUUAAUUAAAAAAUUAACUGAAAAAAGAUGCCUCUCACGAGGCCUACUUUUAUCUAGUGCCUCAUGUGCCUUUCCAAGCUACCCAGUUCUAGCAUCCAUUGCCACAGGAAGCAGAUCAUGGAGGUCCAGACCUGGCCAUAAACACUUUCCUAAAGAAGAUAUACACAGAAGAUAUGCCAACAAGCAUAUGAAAAAAAUCUCGAUAUCACUGAUCAUUAGGAAGAUGCAAAUAAAAACCACAAAGAGAUACCAUCUCACACCAGUCAGCAUGACUAUUAUUAAAAAGACAAAAAAUAACAGAUGCUGGUGAGGUUGCAGAGAAAAGAGAACACUUACACAAUGUUGGUGGGAGCAUAAAUUAAUUUAACCAUUGUGGAAAACAACAUUUCAAUUCUUCAAAGAGCUAAAAAAGAACUACCAUUGGUCCCAGAAAUCCCAUUAUUGGACAUUUCCUCAGAAGAAUAUUAUUAAUCAUUCUACUAUAAAGACACAAGCAUGCAAAUUUUCACUGCAGCACUAUUUACAAUAGAAAAUACAUGGAAUCAACCUCAAUGCUCAUCAAUGACAGAUUGUAAAGAAAAUGUUGUACGUAUACACGAUGUAAUACUGUGUAGCCAUAAACAAGAAUGAGAUCAUGUAUUUUGGGGGAACAUGGAUGGAACUGGAGACAUUUAUCUUUAGCAAACUAACAAAUGAACAGAACACCAAAUAGUGCAUGUUUG
rnacentral:lncRNA from 1 species